CACUGCGUCAGCGAGCGUGCUGAUUGGCUACGGCUUUUGUGACGCCCCUCACGCCCAUCGGCUUUUCAGCUGUCCACUCAGGGGCCCCGGUGAGGGUGGUGGAUCACUUCAUCAUCUCGCGAGAUCCCUGUGUCCUAGUCGUGUCCAGUCUACAGCAGGAAGAGCGUCCCCACGGUGGCUCGGCCUUCUCUGCUCUGAGAAGGGGAAGCUGGAGACCUCGCGAGCGGGAAGUGUACUGGAAGUUAGAAGUCCAAGAUGAAAGUAUCAACAGUGCCCAUGGCGUUACCACCUAAUGAAGUAUAUUAAACUAGAAUUCUCAGCAGUUAUUUAAUACUGAAUUCUAAUACGUUGGGAUAUUUUAAGCUUCUGAGAUAACAUUUUAAAUUUACACUAUAGUAAAAAGGCAUAAUGAUUCAAGGAACAAGUUUAACAAAUAAAAAGAAAAAUCCUAGUUUAGUGGGAAUAUAGACAGUGGCUAAAAACAACAAUUUGAAUGGAAAAUUAAAGACUUCAAAUAAUAAAAUCAAUUUUUUAAAUUCUUUACUAAAAGCCUCAGAGAAAGUCUUUCAUUAUUUAUUAAAUGUCAAUGCAAAAAUGGAUUUAUAUGAUCCCUUAAAAACUGAUUAAUUUGUGUGCAAUAAAGUGGAACUUUUCUCAAGUUUUCUUGACACUCUCACAGAAAUACUUAUGUUCAGGGACUGGAAGAAUUAAUAUCACCAAGAUGUCCAUACUACCAAAAUCAAUUUACAGAUUCAAUGUGAUCCCAAUCAAAAUACCAAUGACAUUCUUCCUAGAUCUAGAAAAAAAGGAUGCUAAAGCUCAUAGAAGCACAGAGACCCCCAAAUACCUAAAUCAAUCUUAUACAACAAAAACAAAGCUGAACACAUCACAAUACCAGAUUUUAAGAUAUAUUACAGGGUAAUUAUAAUCAAAACAGCUUGGUACUGACAAAAAAUAGAAAUGUAGACCAAUAAUAGAAACUCCAGAAACCAAUCCGUGCAUCUACAACCAACUAAUUGUUGGCAAAGGAGCUACCCUGGAGCCAGCGCAGUCUCUUCAACAGAUGGUGCUGGAAAAACUGGAUCUCCAUGUGCAGAAGUAUAAAGUUAAACCCCUCCCUUACAGCUUACACAAAAGUCCACUUAAAAUGGAUCAAAGACACAAAUCUACAACCAGAUUCCUUCCAAUUACUAGAGAAUAUUGGGGAAACUCUGCAUGGCAUUGGCAUAGAGAAAUACUUCUUGGAAAAUCCCCAGAAGCACAGAUAGUCAAAGCCAAAAUUGGCAAAUGGGAUUACUUCAAAUUAAGAAGCUUUUGCACUGCAAAAGUAACAUUCAGCACAGUGAAGAGGAAACUGAAGGAAUGGUUGAAAAUAUUGGCAAACUAUGAAACUGAUAAAAGAUUACUUUGCAGAAUCCAUAAAGAGAUCAAGAAACUCUGGGAAGAAUAGAGGAACUGAAGACCCCAUAAAUGACAGCUCCUGCCCUGCAGGAACCCCAUACACACAGCCUGGCCUCUCCCUGGUGACCACUCCAGUCCCCACUGCACAAUCAAGGAGACGCAGGGCUGCAAUCACACAGAUGGCUCUGGGGCCCAGAAGUCUCUGAGAGCAGGGCUGUGUCCUUUCACCAGCAAGAUCCUGCCUCCUCCUGAGACUCCUCUUGUUUCCCCAUGGGUCUUCCUGGGAGAAUCCUACCUGCUUAAGGUGCAGGGGACCAAGGACCUGGGCUAUCCUCCACUACUUUCCCAGGCCACAGCAGACAGGAGGAUCAGAAGUGGAGCAGCCAAGACUUGAACCAGUGCCCACAUGGAAUGCCAGUACUGCAGAGGGUGGCUUCAUCCACUACACGAGAACACUGGCCUGGAAGGUACCCUCUCAGUAGCAUACACAUUGUCUUCCAAUCAAGCCUGUUUAACUUGAACUCAUAAUAGUUUUGCUUUAAAAUUGUGUUUCUGAAGGAUUUUCAGAGUAUAGAUUAAAAUAUAAAAGGACAACCUAAGAGAAUCCAGAAAAAAGAUGACAAUGAGGUGGGAUUUUGGACAACUGGCCUUUGUUUCUGGUAAGGCAAUGAAAUUAUAAAACGAAUGUGCAAGACUAAAUGAUAGAAAUGGGCUGAAAAAUAGAUCCAGUCAUUUGUCCUGCUCUGUUCCUUGGACAUGUCCGACAUGUGGAAAAAGUGAAGUAAUCAUUCUUC